UAAAACAUGAACUAAAAAUAAAAUGACGAAAAUGAGUGAAGAAAGAGAUAGGAUUAGGAAAGUGUGUGGUAGUUUCAGGGUUGAUUGACUGUGCCUAAUUGGUCGUGAAAACACGCAGCCCAUUUUGUUUGUGGAUGACUCAUGAUCUAUAGUAUACUUUUCCAUGGCCGUGGUCAAUAUUCAAUACCUCCUCAACUGAAGAAAUGAAAAAUGAAAGAGAGUGAUGGGAACCGUGGCCACUGUUUUCCUAUGAACUCAAUUGUCCCGGUCAUGCGCGUCUAGCUUCCAUAAUCCAUAUCCGAAUACAUUUUAACUAUACAUAAAGAUAUAGUCAAAGUCUUCAAACAAUAGUAGACUGCAAUUGAAAGCUUAAGCUCCAAAAAAAAAAAAAAGAUGACAUGAUAAGUUCACCUUUCCUCUCCAAACUCCACCGUCUCUCAGCCUUUAAAGUGAAACAUUCCAAAUGAAACAAAGAACACUUUUAUCCACCUUAAGUUCCUUUUAUUCUUUUCCCCUUAUUAUUCGCUCGUACAUAAUAAUAUUUUUCCUUCUUCUAACAAGAAGCACUGUGUGUUCUGUGAAUCCAAAGUUCCAAGCAUGUGAGCCCAAAACUUGUGGUGGCGAUACUAAUCACCAAAACAUAAGCUUUCCCUUCUACAUGAUAUCAAAACAAAACUCCUACUGUGGUCUCCCUGAUUUCGGUCUCACCUGUUCUCACGAUGGCUUCCCAAUCGUAAAUCUCGCAGGAGAUCUAUACACUGUCCAAAACAUUUUCUACAACAACCAAUCACUUCGAGUGUCCUUCCCUGCGCUCUCGGGGCUAAGAACCACGGAAUGUAUUGCCCCGGUGAGAAACUUCACCGGCCACAGCAAAAGGUUCAGUGUUGCUUCGAAGCAGAAGCAAGUGUUGCUUCGAAGCAGAAGCAAGUGUUGCUGUUUUAUGGCUGUGAAAACAUGCAAGAGCAUAGUAUUGGGUGUUCAGCUGAAAACAGAGACCGGUUGUGGCGCUUUAUGGGGAUGACGUUGACAAUUUGAAGUUGGCGUUGAAGAAUUGCAGGGGGACGGUGAGCGUAACGAGGGUGGAAGAUGAGAAAGGAGGGGUUGAAGAGGCGCUGAGAAGAGGGUUUUUGAUGAAUUGGAAGGCCAAAAAUUGCAGCGAGUGCUCGAACAGUGGUGGGAGGUGUGGGUUCGACGAAGAAGACUAUGCAUUCAGGUGCCAUUGUCGGGAUAGAAUUGACUCGGAGAGUUGUUAUUCAGAACCAGGACAGUUGGAGCUAUCUUAUGAUCAAUCAGUCCACAUGAUGACAGGAUAUAUUGGAUCAAACUCCUGAGCCAAAAACACUUGCAACUUGCUUCAUGUAUCGCUAGUAUUUCAGCAUGAUUAGAGGAGGUUGCUGCUAACGUCUGUUUCAUGGACCUCUAUGAUAUAGUUGUACCACCAUACGUGAAUAGGUAUCCUGUUUGAGAUCUCCCUUUGUGUGGAUCAAACAAGUAUCCAGCAUGCAUAGCCAACUAGUUGUAAGUUGGAUCCAUAGGGAUAAAACAAUCCCAUAUCAACCGUUCCAUGAAGAUAUCGAAAGAUUUGUUUAAUUUCACUCUAAUGUGUUCUGGUUGGAGAGGAACUAUAUCUUACUAGUAAAUUCACAGCAAAUGACAUAUCGGGUCGUGUAUUAUUAGCAAGAUAUAUUAGCGCUCCAAUGGCACUAAGAUAUGGUAGUUUAGGACUAAGGAUAUCUUCAUUUUCUUCUUUAGAACGGAAUUGAUCCUUUUCCACAUCUAAAGAUCUUACGAUCAUUGGGGUACUCAAGAGAUGUGAUUUAUCCAUAUAAAAUCUUUUCAAGAUCUUCUCUGUGUAUGUUGUUUGAUGAAUAAAGAUCCCAUUUUUUA